GUGACUCAAACCGCCGAGAUUCACGAUGCUUGUCUAGACUUUGAGAAGUAUCGUUCGUGCUGCUUUUCCUUAUCAGAGGAAAGGAAACCUAGCUUUUGGACCACCUACUGAGCAGAGCACACAGUAACUUGGAAUUCUUCCUGCGUGCAUACUUUCAAGACACAGAAGCUGUGCCCACAAAGCCAGUAUGCCAUCGCGUUCCAGCUUAAGUCAAGAACACCAAAUCAGUAGUAGUACUUAUUAUGGACUAAUCAUUGAUUUCACAAAUCAACCUGAAACUUCCACCCCCUUUGUUCUUCACAUCAAUGACAUAUGUUGUCCAUUCACAUCCAUCUAGUAUUUUCCCAGAUACCACAAUUACCUACAGAAUCCAUUUUCCCCUUCACCAAUGCGAAAAACAUGAGCAGCAUGUCUCUCUGUAGGAUCAGCUUGUGUUUCAGUGGAUGGAAUAGAUUGAGAUGCCGGACCAUC
rnacentral:lncRNA from 7 species